GUUGAAACACUGGUUUCUGUAUGAUCACUGAAAUUAAGCAACAUUGAGCCUGGUCGGUACUUAGAUGGCUAACCGCUUGGUAAUACCAGGUGCUGUAA